GAUCAUGGCUCAGGAUGAACGCUGGCGGCGUGCCUAACACAUGCAAGUCGAACGAAGCGCCUUUUUACGAUCCCUUCGGGGUGACGAGAUGGCGACUGAGUGGCGGACGGGUGAGUAACGCGUGGGUAACCUGCCCCAUGCAGGGGGACAACAGUUGGAAACGACUGCUAAUACCGCAUAAGCGCACGGGACCGCAUGGUUUUGUGUGAAAAACUCCGGUGGUAUGGGAUGGACCCGCGUCUGAUUAGG
rnacentral:rRNA from 1 species